UUGUUUAUUUUUUGUUUUAGUUAAGACAAGACACGUUGUUGCGGUUUAAUUGAGGCCUUUGGCGGGCACACGCCGGGGGCCGAAGCCCCUGACGGUCCGGAGACGACCCGCCAAAGCAACUAGGAGUAGAUAGACAAGAGUGUUCAGACAGGCUGACUCCACCGGCGGCAUUAGCCGCGGAUGAAGACUGGCCCCCGAUUAUUAAUGAUCCUUCCGCAGGUUCACUAGAGAAUGAUUAGCAUGGGUAGGAUAUGGAGAUUGGAGGUCCAAGCUUACCCUACGGAAA
rnacentral:misc_RNA from 1 species